GAGCAUCCGGACCACCGCAAGGAAGGCAGAUAUUCCAUUUUCUUCACUUUGCCCUGCAUCCCCCCGCCAAAGAAAGAACACUGGGAAUUUGGGGAUCUGCACUGGACCAGAGGCAGAAGAUGGGAGAAGUUCCUGUGACUUGGCGAUGAGCCUCAUGAUUGGAUGGAGUGAGAUCUCUCUGAGCCAGACCAAGAAAGAGAGCUGCUGUGGAGGAAGUUCUUGAAGGAUGUAUGCCCAGGAUCAAGGGAAAGACUAAGGAAGAGAAAGAGCAGACACAAGUAGAUGUAGAAGAGUCAUGAAAAGGUGCGUGCCCCCAGAGAACAUCCAGUGCCGGCCCUAAUGAACCACAAGUCUAGAUAAAAACAGGAGAAGAGAGGAAGAAAUAAAAUGGUUACCUUUGAUUGAAUGGAGACCGUCUGGGUAGGUGAA